rnacentral:rRNA from 1 species
GAUGAACGCUAGCUACAGGCUUAACACACGCAAGUCGAGGGGUAACGAGAGGAAAGCUUGCUUUCCUUGUCGACGACCGGCGCACGGGUGAGUAACGCGUAUCCAACCUGCCCCCAACUAAGGAAUAACCUUGCGAAAGUAAGACUAAUACCUUAUAAUUUCCUCAGAUGUCAUCUGACGAGGAAUAAAGAUUUAUCGGUUGUGGAUGGGGAUGCGUCUGAUUAGCUCGUUGGCGGGGUAACGGCCCACCAAGGCAACGAUCAGUAGGGGUUCUGAGAGGAAGGUACCCCACAUUGGAACUGAGACACGGUCCAGACUCCUACGGGAGGCAGCAGUGAGGAAUAUUGGUCAAUGGGCGAAAGCCUGAACCAGCCAAGUAGCGUGCAGGAUGACGGCCCUAUGGGUUGUAAACUGCUUUUAUACAGGAAUAAAGUUAGCCACGUGUGGUUAUUUGUAGGUACUGUAUGAAUAAGGACCGGCUAAUUCCGUGCCAGCCGCCGCGGUAA